rnacentral:rRNA from 1 species
GAUGAACGCUGGCGGCGUGCCUAAUACAUGCAAGUCGAGCGAACGGACGAGAAGCUUGCUUCUCUGAUGUUAGCGGCGGACGGGUGAGUAACACGUGGAUAACCUACCUAUAAGACUGGGAUAACUUCGGGAAACCGGAGCUAAUACCGGAUAAUAUUUUGAACCGCAUGGUUCAAAAGUAAAAGACGGUCUUGCUGUCACUUAUAGAUGGAUCCGCGCUGCAUUAGCUAGUUGGUAAGGUAACGGCUUACCAAGGCAACGAUGCAUAGCCGACCUGAGAGGGUGAUCGGCCACACUGGAACUGAGACACGGUCCAGACCCCUACGGGAGGCAGCAGUAGGGAAUCUUCCGCAAUGGGCGAAAGCCUGACGGAGCAACGCCGCGUGAGUGAUGAAGGUCUUCGGAUCGUAAAACUCUGUUAUUAGGGAAGAACAUAUGUGUAAGUAACUGUGCACAUCUUGACGGUACCUAAGCAGAAAGCCACGGCUAACUACGU